CGCGUAGGCGGUUUUGUAAGUCAGAUGUGAAAGCCCGGGGCUCAACCCCGGAAGUGCAUUUGAUACUGCGAGGCUUGAGUAUGGGAGGGGGAAGUGGAAUUCCUGGUGUAGAGGUGAAAUUCGUAGAUAUCAGGAGGAACACCAGUGGCGAAGGCGACUUCCUGGACCAAUACUGACGCUGAUGCGCGAAGGCGUGGGGAGCAAACA
rnacentral:rRNA from 1 species